rnacentral:rRNA from 1 species
GAUGAACGCUGACAGAAUGCUUAACACAUGCAAGUCAACUUGAAUUUGGGUUUUUUAACUUCGAUUUGGGUGGCGGACGGGUGAGUAACGCGUAAAGAACUUGCCUCACAGCUAGGGACAACAUUUGGAAACGAAUGCUAAUACCUGAUAUUAUGAUUAUAAGGCAUCUUAGAAUUAUGAAAGCUAUAUGCGCUGUGAGAGAGCUUUGCGUCCCAUUAGCUAGUUGGAGAGGUAACGGCUCACCAAGGCGAUGAUGGGUAGCCGGCCUGAGAGGGUGAACGGCCACAAGGGGACUGAGACACGGCCCUUACUCCUACGGGAGGCAGCAGUGGGGAAUAUUGGACAAUGGACCAAGAGUCUGAUCCAGCAAUUCUGUGUGCACGAUGACGUUUUUCGGAAUGUAAAGUGCUUUCAGUUGGGAAGAAAAAAAUGACGGUACCAACAGAAGAAGAGACGGCUAAAUACGUG